CACAGUCUCUCAAGUCACGCUGUCUGCUCUAGCCAGGGACUGAUUACACAACUCAGCUGCUAUAAAGUCCUGAGGCCCAAAUGGGACUGUCCUUCCAGUCCGUAGCCCCCCAUCGCUGCUCCUUCUGGACUAUAGGGGGCGCCUUGACCUUCGCCAGACAAAGAAAAGGGAACGUCAGGCUACGCUGAGCAGCAGGCUGCUUCCAGGUUGAAAAUUUCUAAGACAGCAGGACACAAGAACAAGGCGAAGCAGGAGACACUGGGAACGACCAGAAACCAGCCAGGUAGAGGGCAGAAGUGACUUUCUAAUGCCAGAGAUGACCGUUAACUUAUCCGACAGUUUUUCAUGAAUUGGAAGAUGACAUCAAGUGACCUUCAAAAGGAAUGGGAAAAGUGCAGGUAUGACGUGCACUGAUAGGACAGAUCGUAUCAGGCUCCUAGAAGCAGGACUGAAGUCCCAAAAGGCAAGGAAGAAGCUCUUCAUUGAAAAAAGAAAAAAAAAAUUGUGCUGU